UACGGAGGGUGCGAGCGUUGUUCGGAAUUAUUGGGCGUAAAGCGCGCGCAGGCGGCUCUCUAAGUCCAUGGGUAAAAGGCCGGGGCUCAACCCCGUGUACGCCCAGGAUACUGGGGAGCUGGAGACACGUAGAGGCAAGCGGAAUUCCGGGUGUAGCGGUGGAAUGCGUAGAUAUCUGGAGGAACACCGGUGGCGAAGGCGGCAUCCUGGACCAACACUGACGCUGAGGAGCGAAAGCCAGGGGAGCAAACGGG
rnacentral:rRNA from 1 species